rnacentral:rRNA from 1 species
GACGAACGCUGGCGGCGUGCUUAACACAUGCAAGUCGAACGGAAAGGCCCUGCUUUUGUGGGGUGCUCGAGUGGCGAACGGGUGAGUAACACGUGAGUAACCUGCCCUUGACUUUGGGAUAACUUCAGGAAACUGGGGCUAAUACCGGAUAGGAGCUCCUGCUGCAUGGUGGGGGUUGGAAAGUUUCGGCGGUUGGGGAUGGACUCGCGGCUUAUCAGCUUGUUGGUGGGGUAGUGGCUUACCAAGGCUGUGACGGGUAGCCGGCCUGAGAGGGUGACCGGCCACAUGGGGACUGAGGUACGGACCAGACUCCUACGGGAGGCAGCAGUGGGGAAUAUUGCACAAUGGGCGGAAGCCUGAUGCAGCAACGCCGCGUGCGGGAUGACGGCCUUCGGGGUGUAAACCGCUUUCGCCUGUGACGAAGCGUGAGUGACGGUAAUGGGUAAAGAAGCACCGGCUAACUACGUG